rnacentral:rRNA from 1 species
UACAGAGGGGGCAAGCGUUGUUCGGAAUUACUGGGCGUAAAGGGCGCGUAGGCGGCCUGUUAAGUCGAACGUGAAAUCCCCGGGCUCAACCCGGGAACUGCGUCCGAUACUGGCAGGCUUGAAUCCGGGAGAGGGAUGCGGAAUUCCAGGUGUAGCGGUGAAAUGCGUAGAUAUCUGGAGGAACACCGGUGGCGAAGGCGGGUCUCUGGACAGUUCCUGACGCUGAGGCACGAAGGUCAGGGGAGCAAACGGG